GAUGAACGCUGGCGGCGUGCCUAAUACAUGCAAGUCGAGCGAACGGACGAGGAGCUUGCUCCUCUGACGUUAGCGGCGGACGGGUGAGUAACACGUGGAUAACCUACCUAUAAGACUGGGAUAACUUCGGGAAACCGGAGCUAAUACCGGAUAAUAUAUUGAACCGCAUGGUUCAAUAGUGAAAGACGGUUUUGCUGUCACUUAUAGAUGGAUCCGCGCCGCAUUAGCUAGUUGGUAAGGUAACGGCUUACCGAGGCAACGAUGCGUAGCCGACCUGAGAGGGUGAUCGGCCACACUGGAACUGAGACACGGUCCAGACUCCUACGGGAGGCAGCAGUAGGGAAUCUUCCGCAAUGGGCGAAAGCUUGACGGAGCAACGCCGCGUGAGUGAUGAAGGUCUUCGGAUCGUAAAACUCUGUUAUUAGGGAAGAACAAAUGUGUAAGUAACUAUGCACGUCUUGACGGUACCUAAUCAGAAAGCCACGGCUAACUACGUG
rnacentral:rRNA from 1 species